rnacentral:lncRNA from 1 species
UGGCCUAGUGGGCAAAGAACCAACCUCUCGAGUGUGAGGGCGCGGGUUCGAUUCCAGGUCAGGCAAGUACCAAUGCAACUUUUCUAAGUUUGUAUGUACUUUCUAAGUAUAUCUUAGACACCAAUGACUGUGUUUCGGAUGGCACGUUAAACUGUAGGUCCCGGCUGUCAUUGAACAUCCUUGGCAGUCGUUACGGGUAGUCAGAAGCCAGGUCUGUCAAGUUUGUUCUACGAAUUGCAUUAAGGUGGGCUUGAAAACAAGAGAGAGUCAACGACAUCAGAGUAAAAGAGAUAAAUAUAUAAUGUUGCCACCAAAAAUACAAUUUCGUAUUCUCCCUAAUAAUGAGCGUAUAAAUUGAUUUUUAAAGUAAAUUACCCUUGAAGAUACUUUUAGCUAUUAUUCUAAUGCCAAAAAAUAUACUUAGUUGAGAAAUAUUAGAUAUAAAAUUUAAUAUUACUUAUUAGAAAAUAUAUAUGGGGGAUUAUGUGUGGCAACACUAAUGUCCGGACGCCAUAUUGGUUUUGACAUUGUUGACGUCACAAGAAAAAUGUCUGCGGCCGGUUGCGCACCAUUUUAUCUUGUACUAAUGUUUAUUUGUAAUAAAUAAACUACUUCCAUUUAAUUCUACAUACAUUGAUAACGUUGAGUCGAGCUUGCUCCUCCGUUGCUGUGUUUUGGUGAAAUUAAGUGUGUAUUUGUGAGAUAUAGACUCGGUGUUGAGACAGUGACUUGUUUGAUUUUGUUUUGUGUUUAAUUCGCGAUGAGUUCACAAAAAGAAAACACAAGAAUCUGCUGCUUGUGUGGAUCUUCACCUUCUAAAGAUCCCAGCAUCACUUUGCAUCGGUUUCCAAAGCCUGGCACUAAAAAUGCUCUGCGUUGUGAAUUAUGGGCAAAGUAUUGCUUCCCAAACGAAGCCUGGUCUUCACCAAAAUUCCAGGACGCACUCCAUAAACAACAUAAGAUGCUAUGCAGCAAACAUUUCAAAAGCACAUGCUUUAAUGAGAAGAAGUUGUUCAGAACAGCUGUACCUGAUGUAGUAAAUGUUUGUAAAUAUCAAAAUAUAAUUGGUCUAGUGUCUUUCUCUUCCUAAUCAUUUCUAUAAUAAAGAAGAAAUAACACCAACGUUUAUUACACAAUAUGAUAGAAUAAUUUAAACCAUGUCUGUAAACUUGUUGUUUGUUAAACAAAUCGAUAGUAUUCUUUAUUGUAUAAUAACAUAGUCUUGUUUUUUAUAAUAGUAACACUUUAAAACUAACUAGAAUUUUUGUUUGUUUAUGUUUUGAUGUUGAAAUUGUAUGCAAUAGGCCCAUCCAUACUUGUUAUUUUGGACGAAAAUGUCUGAAAUACCUACCUAAAUUGAUUAAAUUCAUGUAUUUUAAAAUUCAUUACAUAGGUGCACAUACUUGUGAUUUAUGAACACCUUUUGUACCCUAUUUCUGGAAAUAAAUUAUAAUUAUUAACAUGCUAAAUAAAAAACUCUUGUA